rnacentral:rRNA from 1 species
AGUGAACGCUGGCGGUAGGCCUAACACAUGCAAGUCGAACGGCAGCACAGUAAGAGCUUGCUCUUACGGGUGGCGAGUGGCGGACGGGUGAGGAAUACAUCGGAAUCUACUUUUUCGUGGGGGAUAACGUAGGGAAACUUACGCUAAUACCGCAUACGACCUACGGGUGAAAGCAGGGGAUCUUCGGACCUUGCGCGAUUGAAUGAGCCGAUGUCGGAUUAGCUAGUUGGCGGGGUAAAGGCCCACCAAGGCGACGAUCCGUAGCUGGUCUGAGAGGAGGAUCGGCCACACUGGAACUGAGACACGGUCCAGACUACUACGGGAGGCAGCAGUAGGGAAUCGUCCGCAAUGGGCGAAAGUCUGACGGAGCAACGCCGCGUGAGUGAUGAAGGUCUUCGGAUCGUAAAACUCUGGGAUUAGGGAAGAACAGAUGUGGAAGGAACUGUGCACAUCUGGACGGGACCUAAUCAGAAAGCCACGGCUAACUACGUG